CCUACGGGAGGCAGCAGUGGGGAAUAUUGGACAAUGGGGGGAACCCUGAUCCAGCGACGCCGCGUGAGUGAAGAAGUAUUUCGGUAUGUAAAGCUCUAUCAGCAGGGAAGAAAAUGACGGUACCUGACUAAGAAGCCCCGGCUAACUACGUGCCAGCAGCCGCGGUAAUACGGAGGGGGCAAGCGUUAUCCGGAUUUACUGGGUGUACAGUGAGCGUAGACGGUGCAGCAAGUCUGAUGGGAAAGGUCCGGGGCCAACCCCGGGACUGCAUUGGAAACUGUUGAACUGGAGUACAGGAGAGGUAAGCGGAAUGCCUAGUGUAGCGGUGAAAUGCGUAGAUAUUAGGAGGAACACCAGUGGCGAAGGCGGCUUACUGGCCUGUAACUGACGUUGAGGCUCGAAAGCGUGGGGAGCGAACAGGAUUAGAUACCCUGGUAGUC
rnacentral:rRNA from 1 species